GCUGGCAGACUGAGUAAUAAGAUUGCCCAUUUCUUUUUGCGUCCGUCUCCUUCUCUUACUAGUAGAGCCACUGCGAUGUUUUCAAUAAUGUUGGAAUACCGAGAAAUUCGCACCAACGUUCUUGUUUCUACCUUUCUCUCAAAAUGGAGCAUCCAUCUGGGGUCUCCAGUGAUCCCAUGACCUUGUUGUGCUCGGUGGCCCUGAUGUUGUUCCCAGGAUGAAAAUCUGCCUAUGUUGAAUAUGGUUGCCUUCAGGGACAUCCAAGUGAGGGACACCUGAGCCCUGCCCAUAGUGCCCUUGCACUAGUGAGAAGAUUCAGCCUGUUUCACGUCGGCUGGUUUGCAGGAUGCUCAGGAUCAGCGGUUCAAUAGCAGCAACUGUGCAGCAUUAUAUGCACUCCAACCUGUCGUGUGGUAGAGAUAUUCAAAGAACACAUUGAAUCCCUCAGCAAAACCAAAGAGCCCUCCCUCCCUAAAACAUGUAACUAGACUUACUUAUUGUUUUCCUGGUAGAAUUCAAACCCAUGACAGGCAGCAUAUGGUGGGGGGUGGCCAUUGUAAAUGCCCAGGGCUCCUUGCAGAGCAAUUAAGGUGCUGUCGUGCUAAAGUAGGUGAGCAGAAAUGAUUCAACCAAAGUAAUUUUUGCAUGUUACAUUAUACUGUAAUGAUGCUCUCAUCCCUAAAAAAUGCCACUCUGCUUCAUGGGCAGACUUGUGAUAUUACUCUCCCUCCCUUCCACACUCUUCCAUGAAGAGCACUAUCCAGAAAACUCUGGGUGGUAUUCAAUGCUAGUUCUAUGCAGAGUAGUCCCAUUGAAGAUUUAAUAGACAUGUCUAACUUGGGGGCAUUGAUUUCAGUGGGUGUACUUUGAGCGUUUCCCUUCAUGUAAGGUCCAAAGUUUGCAGGUUUGGUUUUAUAGCUGCAGUUUUGAGAUGGUUUUGUAGCACCUUUAAAAACUAUUGCUCCUUGCAGGAGAGCCACUUGGGAUGUUGGGGAAGCUAAGAGAUCCUUGUCCUAAAUGGGCAGAUACCUAGACACACUUCCCACAUGGUCCCUUUGAAAUUCCAAGCUGCAGAAAGGACUUACAGCUGAAUACACAAUCAUCUUCAGGGGAAGAUCUCGGCUCACAAUUUUGGAGAAGUUGCUCAGGAUAGCGCCAAGUAACAACCCUGUAAAGGGGGAGAGACUGCUGACAGAGUGGUGUAGCGUCGUAUGUCAAACGUUUAACUGACCAAUACAGGCACAAACCCAGUAGCUCUGCAAACAAGAAGGGGGGGCAAGAGGUGUAGGGAAACAUCUAAAAACGCAGCUGCAGGCUUAGAAGAGGGACUGAGCUGGUAUUUAACAAGUUGCAUCAAAUCAAGUAAUUGAAGGGUUUAUUCUCCCAUGUUAAAUAUCGGCUCCUGUGCCAUCAGGAGUUGCCUUCUGCUAAGCUAUUGGUCUGUCUAGCUCAGUACUCUUAACAUCGAACAGCAGUGGCUCUUUCAGGGUCUCGGGUUUUUCCCACCCCUGCCUGCAGAUGCAGGGGAUCAAACCUGAGGGAGGCCUGCGGGUGAAGCAGAUACUUGGCAACUGAGCCAUGGCCCUUUCUCAUCAAACAGCAUAUUCAUCAUGUGCCAAUGGCAUGGCAUAAUCUGCUUGUGAUUUUUUUUAUUACUACCAGAAUGCUGAUAUUGGCCCUUAACCUUCAGAUUUUGUUACUGUUUGUUUCGUGUUCUCAUAUUGCAGAAUUAAUGUUGCCUAUAAAACAUCUUUUUAUUACUUUGACUUGGUGGAUUUUUGAAUAAAUUUGCCCAGUCAAUUGCCAGUUGGUGGGAAUAGUAAGGGAGGAGAUUUCUCUUACACUCAGGUUCUGCAAUUGGGCUUCCUGUGGACACCUGACCGGCCACUGUAAGAACAGGAUGCUGGAUUAGAUAGGCCACUGGUCUGAUCCAGCAGACCCUUGUGUUCUUAUGCUGUGUUGAACUGCUUUGCUGUAAUAAUUUUUUAAUUAAAUGUUUAUUCCUGCCAUUCUUCCAAAGGGUUUAAGGUUGACACACACAGACAUUCUGCCUUUUACCCUCACAACAACCUUGUGAGGUAUAUUAGGCUGAGAGAUGGUGAUUGGCCCAAGCUCUCCCAAUAAGCUUUGAGGCUGAGUGGGAAUUUGAAGUUGGGUCUCCCCAAUUUAAAGCCAACACUCUAGCUCAGGAACCUCUGGCCCUCUGGAUAUCAUUGCUCCAGCCAUAUGGCCGACGGUCAGUUGUAGUCCAACAACAUUUGGAGGGCCACAGAUUUGUCAUCUCCGCUCUAGCUGCUAAAACCACACUCUCUGUAGCUGAUGAGUAAAGUGUGCUCUUUUGGUCAUUAUGUUAAAAUUACCCUGUGUUUUUAUUGGUAUGUUGUAUUUUGUAAUGUAGUAUUAGAGUGUUUAUACUAAAUUGUAAAGUUCAAAAAUGAGCUUGAUUACAAUUUAAAAUUUACCUCCAGUAAAUCGGGCCUUCUCCUGGCUUGCAUGCAUUCCCACAUGGGCUUCAACAUUAAAUGCUUCUAUCUCUGACAGCGUGGCCAGGACUUGUGGUGUGGCCCAGCUAGGCAAGGUCAGGUUGUGUGUUUUCUGCAGAGAAAAUGAGAGGAAGGUGUGCUGGAAGGCUAACAGGUGCUGAAGGAGGGAGGUUGUAAUGAGAUGCAGUAUCCCUACCUGACAGAAGAGAGAGUCAUGCACUCUCCAAAGGCCCCUCAGGGUCAGCUGCUCCAAUUUAAGCCCUGUACAAUUGGCCGUCUCUGUUACGAAACCCUGUAAGGGAGGGAAGAGGGAGAAAUUAGCUAAAUAAUUAGAACUUGAGUUUUGUUUAACUUAGCGAAGGCCAGUUUCACUAUCUUGCACGUUCUUGCUUGCAUCAGUGGGAGAUACGUCUGCGUAAACAUACAUAAGCCUGGGCUGUUAGGCAUAGAAGUUACAUGCAAAGUGUAACGGCUUCCAAAAAACCACUUCCAUGUAGUGUUGGUUCCAUGCUACAGCUGUAAUUUAUCUUAAAUGGCUUCUUUCAGAGGUCAGCAGGCUUACAACAUGGAAAUGCGUUGUUUUGGACAGCAAGUAUGCCAUACCUAAUAUCCUGUCCACACUCAAAAUUGGAGAUCCCCAAGGUUGUGCUUGCAGGCACUAUGGCACCCUCAGACAACACCCUCGAGGCCCACCAAGGCCCCCUGCCUCUCCCAUAUUUAUUGAUGUGUUUAUUUACAGACACAAAACUGAGGAGAGCUUGCUUACUUUGUGUCUGUUAUUUUAUUUUGGCUGUGUGUAGUUGUUUUUGCUUGGGGGGAGUCUGAGCAUCACCAUUUUUUCUUCUGUGAAUUAGAUAUUUUGUGGUUCCUGUGACAGUUUUUUAGAAUUCCGUAUGUGCCCCUAGGCUCCAAAAGGUGCUGACUGGAGCUGAUGGGGGUUGUAGUCCAAAAUAGCUGGAGGUUACCAGACUAUUCACACAUCUGGGAGUAAGUUCCAUUGGAUUGUAUUUAAGUCCUACGCAAAGUAGGUCUUUUUGAAAUUAAUGGACCUAAGUUAGUCAUGAGAGCCAGUGUGGUGUUGUGGUUAAGGUGUUGGACUAUGACCUGGGAGACCAGGGUUCGAAUCCCCACAUAGCCAUGAAGCUCACUGGGUGACCUUGGGCCAGUCACUGCCUCCUCUGAAUAACACUUAACAUGAAAACCCUAUUCAGAGGGUGGCCAUAAGUCAGAAUUGACUUGAAGGCAGUCCAUUUCCAUUUCCAAGUUAGUCAUGUCCAUUAGCUUCAGUGUGUCUGUUCUGGGUAGAACUAGCAUUGAAACUCAGUGAAUCCUGACAUGCUUGGAUUGCCUUGCGACUUAAGUAUUGCUGUUUUAUCUUGUGUCUGCUGUUACUAACGUUUUGUAUUUUUAUUUGAAUUUUGUACCUUUUUUGUAAACCACCCUGGAAUUUAUCCUGAUGUGGCAUAUAAAUAUUUUAAAUUAAUAUUAACGCUCAAAUUGGGCCCUCGGCUGGCCUUCAAAGACUUCCCAUACAUAAAGGGUUCCCUUAAUCAAAUUAAGGCAGUCAACUGUCUUCCAUUUCUAUACAUAAGGUAAGACAAGGACACUGGUUUAAUAUAAUUCACUCUCUCCAGGGAAUCCUGGGAAUAGUAUUUCUGUGAGGGGAGCUUUGGAUCCCUAUAGCAUCCUCACCAACCUACAAUUCCCAAGGUUCCUUGUGUGAAGGCCAGGACAGUUAAAGUAGUGUAAAACUACUAUAGGUUUGUAGUGUAGAUAUAUCCUAUAUGCUGGUGAAAGAAUGGAUUUCAAACCUUAUCCUCCGGAUUGUGUAGUUCUGCCACUGGCAAAGAGUUGGACUGAUGUCUCCCUUCCUACAAUAGCUACCCUGGUACAUAGACAGUAGAAGGGCAGGAUAGAAAUUUCAAUAUAAAAAAAUGAAUACGUUUCUAUGAAUUGGAUGAAAACGGAAUCACACACCCCCACCCGCUGCUGCCUUUUCUUCCUCUUCCUAGCCCAUCCCUCCAUCCCAGAUACCUUCCAGCUUUCCAUUCUAGCCUGAUAGCUUGGCAACUUAAUUGUUUCUUCCAUCAACUGUUGGUAUCGUAGGCAGGUUCGGGUUGGUGGCUUCAGCAGCUGUGAGGUGGGGGUGGGAAAGACAGGCAGAAGCUGACUAUUGGAGAAAGCGGACCCGUUGCCCCUCCCAAGCAUAAACUACCAGGCCACGCCAAACCAGAAAUCUUGAUUGAAUCUCACUUCUCCACAUGUAUUCACUUUUGCUCUGUCCCCCCAAAAGCUGCUGUGUAGCAGCCUUUGCUGACAUGGUGCCCUCUAGAUGCUUUGGCCUACUACAACUCCCAUCCAUGUUGGCUGGAGCCAAUGG